rnacentral:rRNA from 1 species
UACGGGGGGAGCAAGCGUUGUUCGGAUUUACUGGGCGUAAAGGGCGCGUAGGCGGUCGUGACAAGUCACUUGUGAAAUCUCCGGGCUUAACUCGGAAAGGUCAAGUGAUACUGUCGGACUAGAGUGCAGAAGGGGCAACUGGAAUUCUCGGUGUAGCGGUGAAAUGCGUAGAUAUCGAGAGGAACACCUGCGGCGAAGGCGGGUUGCUGGGCUGACACUGACGCUGAGGCGCGAAAGCCAGGGGAGCGAACGGG